UGCAAGUCGAGCGGCAGCGGAAAGUAGCUUGGCUACUUUGCCGGCGAGCGGCGGACGGGUGAGUAAUGUCUGGGAAACUGCCUGAUGAGGGGGAUAACUACUGGAACGGUAGCUAAUACCGCAUGACCUCGAAAGAGCAAAUGGGGGAUCUUCGGACCUCACGCCAUCGGAUGUGCCCAGAUGGGAUUAGCUAGUAGGUGAGGUAAUGGCUCACCUAGGCGACGAUCCCUAGCUGGUCUGAGAGGAUGACCAGCCACACUGGAACUGAGACACGGCCCAGACUCCUACGGGAGGCCAGCAGUGGGGAAUAUUGCACAAUGGGCGCAAGCCUGAUGCAGCCAUGCCGCGUGUGUGAAGAAGGCCUUAGGGUUGUAAAGCACUUUCAGCGAGGAGGAAGGCAUCAUACUUAAUACGUGUGGUGAUUGACGUUACUCGCAGAAGAAGCACCGGCUAACUCCGUG
rnacentral:rRNA from 1 species